CAACUUUAACCCUCUGUGGGUUCACCUGAUCCGCAGAGCUCUGCAUUCUGAACCAAAAGCCAGCCAAUAGAUCUAAUCAAAGCUAGAGCCUUCAGGGCAGCACCCAGUUCCUUCCCAAGGCCGUUGCUUAUCUCUGCACUCUGAGCGCCCAUUUACACAGCAAACCCUUGCUGAAUACCCAGGCCCAAGACCUACAUGAAUGUGUUGUGUAUGCGUCUAGGGUUGGACAAGAGCUGAGCCCACACAAUGAGAUAAGUGCUUUGAUUGAGGAAGCAGCAGCAGGAGAAAUUGCUGAUUAGAAACUCACUCACUACGGUCUGAUGCCUAUUACCUCAAUUACCCCUAAUUGACACCGCUCCUGGCUCUCUGACAAGCCAGGGGAAGUCCCAGGUCCAUGAGGCAAAGCCCUCCUGGUUUUCACCAGGAUCCAGAAGGCAGGAUUUGAACCCAGGACUGUCUGACUGCAAAGCCCUUGGCCUCUGCACCAUCUGCCUCAGAUAACAGCACUAGUAGAUUAGAGAGAGUCAGAUCCUUGAUACACUUUUGGUGAAUGAAUGAGUGAAUGAUUGAAUGCCUGAAUUGCAAGUGUCUAUCUCAUGUGUGGCUUUUCCUUGAGGCUGUGAGCAUCUCUUGAUGGCACAGUGUGUACCUUCUCCAUGUUUGAAGUCCCAGUCUGGAACAGAGGAGGGGCCUGUUGAAUAAAUGAAUGUGUAAAUGAAUGAUGAAGCCAUCAGUUAGUUCCGCUUUGGUAAAGCUUCCUGACGUUCCACUGAUACGUUUUGGAAGGAAAUCAGACUGUAGCGUUAGAAGCCAUCCCCUCCGUGAGGCUUGGCACUGUCAGGAUCUUCCAGUCUCACCUGGACUGGGCAGUGCAGCGGAGUGGAGGCAGGGCAAAGCCUGGCCCAGGCUAGGAUGGCUUGUACCCACCGGUGUCCUGUGUCUUGAGAGCUGGGAGGGGGAGGCCUGGGCAGGGGUGCCUCUGGGCCCUCAGGGGACCUUAAGAGGCCAUUGUUUCUAUUCCCCUGCUCCAUGCCAGCUCUCACUCAUCCUUUGCCCCCUCCCCAGGCAGGUGUGCAGGACCUCGUGGGGAAUGAUCAGCCUCUAGCACAGUGCCUGGCAGUCAGUGGGCUCGCAAGAAAUGUUAAGGGAAAGUCAAAUGAAAGGAAUAGAGAUAUCAGGGAAGGAUGUGCCAUAAUCAGGCUACUCGCAUGGGGAAGUUUUCCCUCCAGUCAUACUGCAGAGGCUACAGAAGGCUUCUGCCCAUCAGGUCUGAAUGCCUGGCUUUGGGGAACACAGUGUCUGAGAGACCCCCAAACAGCACCCCCUCCACCCUGAGGAACUGCUCAUUGAAUGGGUCCCUUGCAGAUAUUUUUUUCUUUUAUUCCUUUUUUUUUUUUUUUUGAGACAGAGUCUUGCUCUGUCUCCCAGGCUGGAGUGCAGUGGCCGGAUCUCAGCUCACUGCAAGCUCCGCCUCCCGGGUUUACACCAUUCUCCUGCCUCAGCCUCCCGAGUAGCUGGGACUACAGGCACUCGCCACCUCACCUGGCUAGCUUUUUGUAUUUUUUAGUAGAGACGGGGUUUCACCAUGUUGGCCAGGAUGGUCUUGAUCUCUUGACCUCAUAAUCUGCCCGGCUCCUUUUUUUUUUUUUUGAGACAGAGUCUCACUCUGUUGCCAGACUGGAGUGCAGCAAUACGAUCUUGGCUCACUGCAACCUGUGCCUCCCGGGUUCAAGCGAUUUUCCUGCCUCAGCUACUACUCGGGAGGCUGAGGCAGGAGAAUCGCUUGAACCCAGGAGAUAGAAGUUGCAGUGAGCUGAGACUGCGCCAUUGCACUCCAGUCUGGGCGACAGACUCCAUCUCAAAAAAAAAAAAAA
ensembl:lncRNA